UACGGGGGGGGCAAGCGUUGUUCGGAAUUACUGGGCGUAAAGGGCGCGUAGGCGGCCUGUUAAGUCGAACGUGAAAUCCCCGGGCUCAACCCGGGAACUGCGUCCGAUACUGGCAGGCUUGAAUCCGGGAGAGGGAUGCGGAAUUCCAGGUGUAGCGGUGAAAUGCGUAGAUAUCUGGAGGAACACCGGUGGCGAAGGCGGCGUUCUGGACUGCAACUGACACUGAAAAACGAAAGCCAGGGGAGCAAACGGG
rnacentral:rRNA from 1 species